rnacentral:rRNA from 1 species
GGUGAAAUUCUUGGACCGUCGCAAGACGGACUUAAGCGAAAGCAUUUGCCAAAAACGCUUUCAUCGAUCAAGAACGAAAGUUAGAGGUUCGAAGGCGAUCAGAUACCGCCCUAGUUCUAACCAUAAACUAUGCCAGCUAGCGAUCCGCCGAAGUUACUUCUAUGACUCGGCGGGCAGCUUCCGGGAAACCAAAGCUUUCGGGUUCCGGGGGAAGUAUGGUU